rnacentral:rRNA from 1 species
UGGGGAAUCUUGCACAAUGGGGGCAACCCUGAUGCAGCGACGCCGCGUGAGCGAUGAAGCCCUUCGGGGCGUAAAGCUCUUUCGACCGGAACGAUAAUGACGGUACCGGGAGAAGAAGCUGCGGCUAACUACGUGCCAGCAGCCGCGGUAAUACGUAGGCAGCAAGCGUUGUUCGGAGUUACUGGGCGUAAAGAGUGCGUAGGCGGUUUUAUAAGUUCGGUGUGAAAUCUCCCGGCUUAACUGGGAGGGUGCGCCGAAGACUGGGAUGCUGGAUUGUGGGAAAGGCAGGCGGAAUUCCUGGUGUACCGGUGAAAUGCGUAGAUAACAGGAGGAACACCGGCGGUGUAGACGGCUUGCUAGACCAUAACUGACGCUGAGGCACGAAAGCGUGGGUAGCAAACA